UACGUAGGGACCAAGCGUUGUCCGGAAUCAUUGGGCGUAAAGCGCGCGUAGGUGGCUUCGUAAGUCCGUUGUGGAAAGUCAAAGGCUCAACCUUUGAAAGCCGAUGGAUACUGCGAAGCUAGAGUACGGAAGAGGCGAGUGGAAUUCCUGGUGUAGCGGUGGAAUGCGCAGAUAUCAAGGAGGAACACCAAUAGCGAAGGCAGCUCCGGCUGGGACGUUACUGACACUGAGGCGCGAAAGCGUGGGGAGCGAACAGG
rnacentral:rRNA from 1 species